GGCCGAAGCAAAAGCGAUAAGUGCACCGCUUGGCGGGUACGGUCGCAUGGCUACAACUCAAAGGAAUUGAUGGGGGCUCACACAAGCGGUGGAGCAUGUGGAUUAAUUGGAUGCAACGCGAAGAACCUUAUCAUGGGUGUGACAUGUAUGGAUUAACUCCGUGAAAGGGGAGCCACGCUCUAUGAGUGGAACAUACACAGGUGCUGCAUGGCUGUCGUCAGCUGGUGUCGUGAGAUGUUGGGUUAAGUCCCUUAUACGAGCGAAACCCCUAUAGUUUGUUGCCAGCGGGUAAUGGCGGGGACUCUAACGAGACUGCUGGUGUCAAACCGGAGGAAGGUGGGGACGAGGUCACGUCCUCAUGGCCUUUAUGCCCAGGGCUGCACUCGGGGUACAAUGGCGGUCUCAGAGCGAACCAGUGCCGUGAGGCUGUGGAAAUAGCAAAAAACAGUCCCCAGUUUGGAUCGCAGUCUGCAACUCGAGUGAGUGAAGUGGGAAUCGCUAGUAAUCGGGUAUCAGUUUCGACGCGGUGAAUCCGUUCGUGAGCCUUGUACACUCCGCCAGUCAAGUCAUGGAAGCCGGGAGUGCCCGAAGUCGCACGGACUCAUGUGUGCCUACGGCAAGCUGGGUGAUUGGGAUUAAGUGGUAUCAAGGUAGCCGUAGGGGAACUUGCGGCCGGAUCUCCUCCUU
rnacentral:rRNA from 1 species